GGACGUGAAGGCCAUCUGGCUGUGACAUCUGUCAUCUCAUGGAUCUCCAAGGGUUGAUUCCGCUAAUCUGGCUGGCUAGGCAGGUGUCCCCUUCCUCCCUUACUGCUGCAUGUUUGUCCCUCCCAAAGCUGCAUCCUUGCUGGAGGAAGACAAACAAGCAAUGAAGUUACUUAACACAUCCUUCACCUCACAUAUUUAUUGUUUUGUUGCUAUUGUUGUCAUCGUUGCUGUUGUUGUAAUGGUGAGAACAUUAAAGUUCUACUCUCAAAGCAACAUUCAAGUAUACAAUACAGUAUCAUUAGCAACAUUCACCAUGUUGUACAUU
rfam:Ailuropoda melanoleuca scaffold297_155, whole genome shotgun sequence.